CUGGCCUGGCUUCCUAUAUAGCUUGAUUACGUGACCAUCGUGUGCUUGUACUCCCUCGUUUGAGCACAUUUCAACCAGCUCAAUCCGAGCACAGUUGCAGUACAUUGCCACGAUUGUCAGUUAUUUAGCUGCCCUACUGAUCUCAGUGCGUCCUUGCUGGGAUGACACAAUCAAUCUACUGCCGGAGAAUACCAACACCAAACACAUUGGCUCACCGUUCCACGGGAGCGGACAGUAAGUACACAGCAUAUCGUAAUAUUCUGAAUAGUGGCCAAGUAUACCUCGCUCCCCAUUCCACUGAACCAUUUUGGAGUAACAAACAAGUCCCAACAUUUACUGGAAACUGUUAAACUACCUGUUCACUACCCUCCGGCUCUCCUCCGGGGAUGUGCAACUCAACCCUGGGCCUAACUUCACCGAGCCAGCGAUACUCACCGGAGUGGAACGCAGUGGAUGGGAUCCACUGAUCGUCGCCGCUGCGGAAGUGGGUCUCCAGACCAGAGCUGCAUCAACACACCGAAACAAAGAAACCAACCCCAGACCCACUACAGACAUGAUCAUCAGACUGGGCAGACUGACACCUGGAUACUUCCGCCUCCUACAGAGACAGGUGGCGGGUGAGGUGCAGACCCAGCCACAGGACCGUGUGGUCAACCAGAUAGCCAUGAUGCUGGCCAUCAUGGGCCUAAGCCUGUCCUACUACAGUGCCAAACGGAUGACCGAGAAGGUCCAGAGGCUCCAGAAGAGAAGAGAUCCCCAUACCCCCUGAAGAGCCCCCCCCCCCCCCCCCCCAUGCGCCAGUCUGCUUUGAACCUGGAGAGAAGACGAACCAACGCAGAGAUGUUGUGGAGAGGAGACAUGGAGAUGUCGGUGUCCAGAACAACACCUUUUCACAACCAAUCAUUCAUACUCACGUCGUUCACACACUGGAGUUUUACUGGGAUCACUCUCAAUGCGAGGAGAGUUUGGGGGCUGCUGCUUUUAAGGGUAUCUUGUUAAUUUUUCACACCAAUUUCUGUGUGUGUGUGAAGAAAGGCCCACGGUGGGGUUCGUGUGGUCCUGAUAAGGGGGGGGGGAGUACUACCAGCUGUCUAUGGUAAGGCUGGGCCUGAGCUUUAGUUGUUGCCAAGGUACAUGCGUGCAAGAUGCCAUCAAUACUGUUCUGCACUAAAAAGGGAUAGAAAAAUGCCAAACUAAUUAUUCGAAUGUAAUGUGAAACGUGCCAGUGCUCCAAGCAUAUGACUGCGUGUAAAAUAACUGAACAGUAAUUAUUUUUUAAGGGAAGGCUAUCUGCAUUUGAGAUGUAUCUGGUAAUGACUGAAGGCGGGCCCAUAGUGUGAGGAGAAAGUAACCCUCGUAGGUUUUUGUCAUUUCUUAUUGUUAAAUAAAAGUGAGCCAUGUGAAGUAGGUGUGGAGGAGGAGUCUCAAACUGGUCAAUAAUUCCACACAUGUUUAAUAUCUGUUAAUGUCAGACACAAAAAAAAACUGUGAAAGUGAAAUGCAGUAUUUAAACGUUUUAGGAACUUGCUUAUCCAAAUCUAUGAAAAGGCACUUUAUCCAAAUAACACCUUUGUUUUUCCCACAAUGUUUCCAGUUUAAUCGAUUUGAUUCUUGAUAAAGAACGUUGGCUUUCUUUAAAGAACUCGAUCUGCAAUAGCUACUAGGUGUUACCACAGAAUAUUCGAACUUCAGUAAACGUUGCAUGGGUGUGCAGCUUUUAAUCUCUACAUAAAACUUAAGAUUUCAUUAAUACUGUCACUUUUAGUUUUUUAAAGAAUUAUAACAUGAAUGUAUAUUUCUGUGAUGUUUCGAAAAAUCAAAUAAAGCUGUGACUUGAA